AGGAUAAUAGUUAAUUAUAACAUUUAAUUUGCAUUUAAAAAAUAUUGCCGAGCAAUUUAUCUUA
rnacentral:tRNA from 1 species